rnacentral:lncRNA from 1 species
AAGCAUUAGAUGACUGUUUCUAGGGAUCCAUAGGAUGAUUACUUUCCUUUCCUCUUGUACGUAAUUGACGCUGCUGUACUUCUUUUCCCUGAUAUUAUUUUUUUAUAUGCGAUAAAUGUUAAAUGAUUCCAGAAUUUGCAAAUAAAACACUAGAAUUCCUUUGAUAUAAAAACAAAUCAUGUGCACAAGCAUUGCAUGCAUCAUAUGCAUAAGCAGGUUUUGG